rnacentral:rRNA from 1 species
GAGUUUGAUCCUGGCUCAGAUUGAACGCUGGCGGCAUGCUUUACACAUGCAAGUCGAACGGCAGCACGGGAGUAAUCCUGGUGGCGAGUGGCGAACGGGUGAGUAAUAUAUCGGAACGUACCCGGAAAUGGGGGAUAACGUAGCGAAAGUUACGCUAAUACCGCAUAUGCCCUGAGGGGGAAAGUGGGGGAUCCGCAAGGACCUCACGUUUUCGGAGCGGCCGAUAUCAGAUUAGCUAGUUGGUGGGGUAAAGGCCUACCAAGGCGACGAUCUGUAGCUGGUCUGAGAGGACGACCAGCCACACUGGAACUGAGACACGGUCCAGACUCCUACGGGAGGCAGCAGUGGGGAAUUUUGGACAAUGGGCGCAAGCCUGAUCCAGCCAUGCCGCGUGAGUGAAGAAGGCCUUCGGGUUGUAAAGCUCUUUCAGCCGGAAAGAAAACGCACGGGUUAAUACCUUGUGUGGAUGACGGUACCGGAAGAAGAAGCACCGGCUAACUACGUGCCAGCAGCCGCGGUAAUACGUAGGGUGCGAGCGUUAAUCGGAAUUACUGGGCGUAAAGCGUGCGCAGGCGGUUUUGUAAGACAGAUGUGAAAUCCCCGGGCUUAACCUGGGAACUGCAUUUGUGACUGCAAGACUAGAGUACGGCAGAGGGCGGUAGAAUUCCACGUGUAGCAGUGAAAUGCGUAGAUAUGUGGAGGAAUACCGAUGGCGAAGGCAGUCCCCUGGGUCGAUACUGACGCUCAUGCACGAAAGCGCGGGGAGCAAACAGGAUUAGAUACCCUGGUAGUCCCACGCCCUAACGAUGCCACUAGGUGUG